UCUCUUAAUGCAAGGUAGGAUGUUUGAGGUGAAUAAGAGGAAAAGAGUUGAAGAUUUUGGAAGUCACUUAGAAAUGGCUCUUGAAAGCAGCUGGUAAGGCAGUGUAAAGAGUACUGUGCCUGGAGUUGGGAAAACUGGAGUUCACAAGUGACCUUGGACACUUAUGAGCUAUGUAAUCUUCUGUCUGCUGCAGUUUCCUCAACUGCAAAAAUGGAGCUACUAGCAUUUUCCUUGCAAGUUAUUGUGAGGAUCAAAUAAGUUUCUGCAUCUGUGAAUUGGGUGAAGAUGGAUGAUUAAAAGAGAUGAUCUCCUUGAAAUUCUUUUAAGUCUAUGAAUCUACUAUCCCUGUAAAAGUCCAUGACAUUCUUAUUCUGGUACCAUCACUUAAUACCUAAAGUUGUGUUAUAUAUCAAAUGUGCAUUUGAAGUAUCCUUCUCUAUUGAAAGCAAAAUGGAGAAUAUUAUGUUAAAUCUAUACCUGGAGUUCCA